UUAUCUUUGUUCUUCAAUAUUAUGAAUAUGACUUUGUUCUACUUCAAUAUAUUGCUAAUGACUUUGCUCUACUUGCUUAUAUUCAAGAUUAUAUUGUUCUUAGUUUAUCAUAGUUAUGUACUUGGCUUAGUUAGAUUGAAUUUAUAUACAUGCUUAGGAUCGUAUAGCGUUUAUCCAUCGGAUCCAUGGGUAAAUGAUAGAUAUUGUGUAGGCGUGGUGCUUAUACCGUAUUUAUCUGUGAUUGUACCCAAUACGCC
rnacentral:lncRNA from 1 species